UGACCUCGGAUCAGGUAGGAAUACCCGCUGAACUUAAGCAUAUCAAUAAGCGGAGGAAAAGAAACCAACAGGGAUUGCCUCAGUAACGGCGAGUGAAGCGGCAACAGCUCAAAUUUGAAAUCUGGCCCUAGGCCCGAGUUGUAAUUUGCAGAGGAUGCUUUUGGCAAGGUGCCUUCCGAGUUCCCUGGGAACGGGACGCCAUAGAGGGUGAGAGCCCCGUCUGGUCGGACACCGAGCCUCUGUAAAGCUCCUUCGACGAGUCGAGUAGUUUGGGAAAUGCUGCUCAAAAUGGGAGGUAUAUGUUCUUCUAAAGCUAAAUUACCCGGCCCAGAGACCGGAUAGCGUCACAAGUAGAG
rnacentral:rRNA from 1 species